rnacentral:rRNA from 1 species
UACGUAGGUGACAAGCGUUGUCCGGAUUUACUGGGCGUAAAGAGCGCGCAGGCGGUCGAUCAAGUCGAGUGUGAAAGCCCCCGGCUCAACUGGGGAGGGUCACUGAUCGACUGAUCGACUGGAAGGCAGGAGAGGGUAGUGGAAUUCCCGGUGUAGUGGUGAAAUGCGUAGAUAUCGGGAGGAACACCAGUGGCGAAGGCGACUACCUGGCCUGUUCUUGACGCUGAGGCGCGAAAGCUAGGGGAGCAAACGGG